rnacentral:rRNA from 1 species
CUACGGGAGGCAGCAGUGGGGAAUCUUGCGCAAUGGGCGAAAGCCUGACGCAGCCAUGCCGCGUGAAUGAUGAAGGUCUUAGGAUUGUAAAAUUCUUUCACCGGGGACGAUAAUGACGGUACCCGGAGAAGAAGCCCCGGCUAACUUCGUGCCAGCAGCCGCGGUAAUACGAAGGGGGCUAGCGUUGCUCGGAAUUACUGGGCGUAAAGGGAGCGUAGGCGGAUAGUUUAGUCAGAGGUGAAAGCCCAGGGCUCAACCUUGGAAUUGCCUUUGAUACUGGCUAUCUUGAGUACGGAAGAGGUAUGUGGAACUCCGAGUGUAGAGGUGAAAUUCGUAGAUAUUCGGAAGAACACCAGUGGCGAAGGCGACAUACUGGUCCGUUACUGACGCUGAGGCUCGAAAGCGUGGGGAGCAAACAGGAUUAGAUACCCUGGU